ensembl:miRNA
GGGUCGGUGGUCCUUGGGCAGGGGUCUCGGAUCCCGGACGAGCCCCCAAAUGAAAGACCCCCGAAAUGGGUGUCCCUU